rnacentral:rRNA from 1 species
CUUUGAGAGAGAGUUCAUGAGGGCGUGAACCGCUGAGAAGGAAWCGGAUAGAGUUGACGAAACUCGGUGGCAUUCAGCCGAUUAGGUGCCGGAUGCCCGCGGUUUUGUUUCAGCCCGUAUCUUCGGGCUGUUCGAAGCCGCUGGUUGCGUCGGCAUCGAAUCGGUGUAUUUGCCAUCGGUAUGCGCCGAGAAGCUCGCUGUGGUGUGCUGAGGCCGUGCCAAAGAGGACCGUGCUCGCAUGGGUGCGGAAACCUUUGGUGGUUGAUGUGUGUCCGCGGUGAGUUUGCGUUGGUGUGUUGCCCCGCUAGGGCGCGACGGCUACUGCGUGACUGGUGUGGCUAUUGGGCGGUCGCGUGCGACUUGCCUAUAGUUGAUGCUGGUCCGUUGGUGGUGCAGUUGCGUUGGGCCGGCACAUCUCGGUGUAAAAGUUGACCACCUAUCCGACCCGUCUUGAAACACGGACCAAGGAGUUUAGCAUAUGCGCGAGUCAUUGGGUGGUAAACCUAAAGGCGUAAUGAAAGUAAAGGUUGCUUUAGUGUAACUGAUAUGGGAUCCGCAUGGUUUCGGCCGUGCGGCGCACCAUAGCCCCGUCCCCGUUGCUUGCAAUAGGGCGGAGGUAGAGCGUAUACGCUGAGACCCGAAAGAUGGUGAACUAUGCCUGAGCAGGAUGAAGCCAGAGGAAACUCUGGUGGAGGUCCGAAGCGGUUCUGACGUGCAAAUCGAU